CUUUACUGGGCGCAGCCUGAUCUAGCCAUGCCGCGUGAGUGAUGAAGGCCUUAGGGUCGUAAAGCUCUUUCGCCAGGGAUGAUAAUGACAGUACCUGGUAAAGAAACCCCGGCUAACUCCGUGCCAGCAGCCGCGGUAAUACGGAGGGGGUUAGCGUUGUUCGGAAUUACUGGGCGUAAAGCGCGCGUAGGCGGAUUAGUCAGUUAGAGGUGAAAUCCCAGGGCUCAACCCUGGAACUGCCUUUAAUACUGCUAGUCUUGAGUUCGAGAGAGGUGAGUGGAAUUCCGAGUGUAGAGGUGAAAUUCGUAGAUAUUCGGAGGAACACCAGUGGCGAAGGCGGCUCACUGGCUCGAUACUGACGCUGAGGUGCGAAAGUGUGGGGAGCAAACAGGAUUAGAUACCCUGGUAGUCCACACCGUAAACGAUGAAUGCCAGUCGUCGGGUAGUAUACUAUUCGGUGACACACCUAACGGAUUAAGCAUUCCGCCUGGGGAGUACGGUCGCAAGAUUAAAACUCAAAGGAAUUGACGGA
rnacentral:rRNA from 1 species